rnacentral:rRNA from 1 species
UACGGAGGGUGCAAGCGUUGUUCGGAAUUACUGGGCGUAAAGCGUGUGUAGGCGGCUUGUUAUGUCAGGUGUGAAAGCCCGCGGCCUAACCGAGGAAGUGCGCCUGAAACUGCCAAGCUUGAGUACGAGAGAGGAGGACGGAAUUCCCAGUGUAGAGGUGAAAUUCGUAGAUAUCGGGAGGAACACCGGUGGCGAAAGCGGUUCUCUGGAUCGAUACUGACGCUAAGACGCGAAAGCGUGGGGAGCAAACAGG